rnacentral:lncRNA from 1 species
AGGAAACAUGUUAAAUUCUUAAGUACGAGAAUAAAGCAAUUGAAUGAAAAAUUGCAUUUUCUUUAAAGGCAAUUCCUCUUCUGGCCCCAAGAGAUUACAAGGAAAGGGAAAGAUUGACACUGGCAAAUAUAGGGCUUCAGAAUUCAAUGAAUAUUUUCAUUGAUGUCACCAUUCCAGUCCUGAGUGGUAUUUCCUGAA